rnacentral:tRNA from 1 species
GCCCGCUUGGCUCAGCGGUAGAGCGCCUCACUAGUAAGAUAUUCAAAUUUUGAAUACGAACUGCAGUUAUGAGGAGGCGACUGGUUCGACUCCAGUAGUGGGCA